ACCUCAUCUCUCAACAACAAUUUGAACCAAGUUUUCCGAGGAAUAUAUCCUUUCGGCCAAGCAUUUCCGUCAACAACCCCCAAUCCAAUUCCAAAAUUUGGGAGCCCCAAACUCAAUCCCUAUAAGAAGAAGAAGAGAAAGCACUGCUGAGGUUGAUUCAAACAUUUAGGUUUAGGGCACAGAAUCUGUAUCUGCUUCCUCAUUCUCGCAUCCAACAACAACAAGAAGAAGAAUAGCAAUGUCGGACUUUCUCCCAGACGAAAUCAUGGUUGAAAUCCUCCACAGACUACCCACCUAAGCCCUAAUCCAAUUCAGGUCUGUUUCCAAAUCAUUGAACUCUCUUAUCACAAGCCCUAGUUUCAUCAACACCCACUUCAAUCACUCACUCAUUUCCAAUACCUACAAUAACAGCUAUGAUAAUCUCCCACUCAUGAUACUUAGGCAAUGUGUUUCUACUCCCUAUACCAAAACAGAGCACUACAAAUUGUGUAUUGAUACUGAUGAAUCAUUGCAUGAAUACAAAGAACUUGAAAUCCCAAUAAAGAGCCGUUGUCUUCACUUUUUUUUCGCAAUUGGGUAUGCGAAAGGUUUGUUUUGCCUUUUCGAACAGGAUCGGUUUUUUCUUUGGAACCUGUCGAUUAGAAAGUCCAUGGCCAUGCCCAAACCUACGAUCAAGACCUCUAUGCAUUAUCAUGGGUUUGGAUUUGAUCCGCGGGGCAAUGAUUAUAAGGUGGUUACAAUAGCCAACAGAACUAAACUGCCUAAUGGGGAGCCAAUAACACACAUUGAGGUUAACUCCCUUAAUGCAGGCGUAUGGAAAAUGUCUAGCAUGGGGAGAAACUCUUAUCCGGAUGGAAUUACUAUAGGUUAUUCGGGGCGAUUCGCUGCUUAUUUAGAAGGGGCUGUUCAUUUUGCUGCGAAUAUGAAGAAAUCCAAUGAUCCCUUGAUUUUGUCGUUUGAUUUGUGCGAUGAGGUGUUUCAAACGAUGAUGUUACCAGAUGGUAUUGUAGGCCCGAGAACCGAGGUCCGGGCUUCAGUAUUUGGGGGAUUGCUUUCUCUGUUAUGUUACGAAGAUAGUGCUGUGUACAAGUCUUGUUCCAUUUGGAUAAUGAAAAAGUACGGUGUAGUUGAUUCUUUGUACAAGCAGUUAACAAUUGAUCUAAGCAGAGAAAUUACGCAGGUAUUAGGUAUACAGAAUAAUGGUCAUAUAUUAUUGGAGACAAAAGCACCAAGUGAUUGGGUGCUUUCUUCAUAUGACCCUUCGAGCCAACAAACUAAGAAUUUGGGAAUUUAUGCUACUUCAAACCAUUUUGUUGUUGAUACUUACGAGGAGAACCUAAUCUUACUCAACAAACCAAAUGAUGCAUUCUCUAGAAGGCGAGUGAGCAGGAAGAGGAAACACAGGGGUACUAGUCAUCUAAAAAGGCAUGCUAACAAACAUUUACAAAGUCGACAACCUGAUAUUCGAAGUCAGAUGCAAUUAGGGGCUUCAUCAACUGUGGGAGACGCCAUGGACACGCUGUGACACUUUCCGGACACGCCUGAGGUGGAUCGAAUCGAAGCCCUAACCCUAACUGAAAUAGAGAAAGAGAUCGAGGGAGAAGAGGAGACAGUGAAAGAGAUCAAGGAACGAGAGAAGACAGAGAUCGAGGGAGGAGAUAAGAGAAGACAGACAGAGAAAGAGACAGAGAAAGAGGAAAAGAGAGGAGCCUAACCUGUUCUGAUCAAUGAAGAAGCUGAGGUUGACUCUUGACCUAGACUUUCAAGCACGAAUAAAGGCACUUAAUAGUGAUAUUCAAAGGCAGACAAAUGAAGUUGAGCUCCAGUUAAGAGAGAUAAAGGGAAAGGUAGAGGAAGCAAUGGAAAUCAUAGCAAGAAUGGGGCCUCCACAACAUGCUGAGGUCUACGCCAAACUCCACACUAUUUUUUUGCAAAUGCGACCCAUUGUUGUUCCAAGCAAUGUUCAUGAUAAUGGGUACUAAGGAACCUUACAGAGAACCAUCCACUUCUUGCGCGAAUGGUGUGGAAGUGGCACUAAUACUUCUUUCUUCAGAACGAGUGGGAUUAGCACUUGGAUGCUAGAGAAACAUAUAUUUAUGGAGAAUAAUGCAGUAUAGAGUCAAAUUGCUACUUCAUAUGAACUGAACCAUUUUGAACAUGGCCCAAAGCAUGUUAAAGAGUCAAAUUGCUACUUCAUAUGACUUAGGGUCUCAUGAGUGAUGAAGUGUCAGUGGCGCUCAGCUGGAGUGCUCGGCCACCGUUAAUAUAUAUUUUUCCAAUCAGCAUGUGGUCUCUUUUGUUACGAUGUGUGUGUUGAUCACACAGCUAAAACGCUAUUGUGAUUGAUGCUGGCCCACCACGGCCUUUUCUAAAGAGUAAAUGCUGAAGUCUUUUUCCUCAUUGGCCAAGAAUACCUAAUUCAUGCUGACACUGUGUAUCUAAAGCUGGGCCCACACAUUGAAACGCAUCUCCUGUCUUCACUUGGCUUAGUUUUCAUCUGAGCCAGGCAAAUCGUCUUUCCAAGAAUCAGGCCCACCUUUUCCUCAUGAACUCCACUUUAAUUUAAGGAACAAAUCGAUUCGACGAGGCUCACUGCCACUUUUCAAAGUUCCGUGGUGAAUAAUUGUGAGGUGGCUGCUGAGAAACUGAGCCACAGUCGUGUCCUUGGCAGGGGUGUAGGUGUCAAGGGAAAAGAUUUGAAUGGCUGCAUAGGGCAAGGAUUGUACGAGGGAUGAGGAUUAUGAGGCAGAGUUUAUAAAAAGAAGGGCUAAAUCUACUGAAUUUCUGAAGCAAUUGUCUGAGAUGAAGGAUCAAUUAUUGCAGACCUUUUAGCAAACCAUUCUUACCUACAGUGCAGGCAUCUACUAAUGCACAGCCAUGAUCCAGGUAAAAAAAAAAUAAAAAUUGAAUGAUUUCAAAUAUUCAAUGGAUUCAAAGCCUGACCCAGUGGAUGACAUAACAUAUGAUUCAGUCUUUACCAAACAGAACUACCUCUGAUAUUCUGACUCUUUCUGGGCACAUCAGAUGAAAUGGUCUCGUAUUGUUUUCAAUUUUGUUCUGCAGAAAUAUCAUUUUUAGGAGCAAAAUGAUCAUGGAAUUUGAAAAAAAAAAAUUGUUAUAUAUUUUUUAUCCAGCAUCUUGUAAUGUGGCUUGCAACUGGCAUUCUUGUUUUCUUUGACUGUAUAUUGUUGUUACUA